rnacentral:pre_miRNA from 1 species
GGAAACAUAAAAACUACCGUUGGAUAAAAAGUUAGACGUAUGAGAUUUGUCCAUGUUAUCACCAGUAAAAAUUUUACUCGCGGAUUUACUCAUAAGUAAUCUUUUUACUGGGAGUAAAAUUUUUACUCAUGGUGACGUGAACGAAUCGUAGGAAUCCAUUUCUUAAUCCAACGAUAGUUUUCAAGUUUCC